rnacentral:sRNA from 12 species
GCGUAACGCGUAUGGCUAUACGGCAGUCCCAAAACUGCCAAAGGUUACGGCAAGCCCAAAGAAUUGCAAGUCCGUUUUGCAAACAGAGAAUUUGCAUCACACAAGGCAUCGUGUGCUUGCUCGAUCAUAAAGAACCUUGGUCGGUUUCUCUGUUGCAAGCUUGUUCUGGUAAAAAACUUUGGGAUAAAGCUAUCUACUAACGGACAGUAGAUAGCUUUUU